UACGAAGGGGGCUAGCGUUGUUCGGAAUUACUGGGCGUAAAGCGCGCGUAGGCGGUGAUCUUUGUCAGAGGUGAAAUCCCGAGGCUCAACUUCGGAAUUGCCUUUGAAACGGGAUUGCUUGAGUCCGAGAGAGGAUGGCGGAAUUCCUAGUGUAGAGGUGAAAUUCGUAGAUAUUAGGAAGAACACCGGUGGCGAAGGCGGCCAUCUGGCUCGGUACUGACGCUCAGGCGCGAAAGCGUGGGGAGCAAACAGGGAU
rnacentral:rRNA from 1 species